CACAGAGAGACUGGAACAGAAAACACACGGAGGAAAGCAGGUUGAAGAUGGAAGCAGUUUUCUAGCAGCCGGAUCACAUUGGAACAGAGUCCAUCCACACGUGUUUGGAGGAGCUGAAGAAGAGGAUGGAGCACAGAGACCGCUAAGGAGGAGGAACAUGGCUCCUCUAUUUCUCUCCAACAUGCUGGAGUCCUGGACUGAAAAACGUUGACGACCCUGCAGCUAAACCAUCAGUCUGCUCCACCCAAUAAGGUCAUCUGCUCCUUGGACUGGCGCCUCUGUGUCUGUUGGACGUCUGCUGUCCUGUUAAAGACCCGCUCGGCCGCAGUAGAUGGGCGCUGACAUGGAGCUGCUGGAGGUUCCUUCCUGCUUAAAGCUGGUUUUCCUCUCUACUGUCACCACUUCACUGCUCAGGAGGAAGGACUGCUGUGAAAUUAACGACUGGAUGUGAUUGGCUGAGCUUCCUCGGAUUGAAGACAUUUCUCUAAAAGCCAUAAUAAGCUGAAUUUAUUUUUACCAUGUUGUAAAUAGGAUUGGGCUGGACUGCAUGUUUGUGUUUCAAAUUGAUUCUGUGUUUCUGUUGUUUUCUGUUACAUGUUUUUGUAUUAAAGUUGUCAUGUAAAUUGCCUUCAGAUAACAUUUGCUGGGACUUGUUUCUAUUUUACAAGAGUGAAUUAUAAUAAAUUCCCCUACUGGGUCUGUUUCUGUUGAA